rnacentral:rRNA from 1 species
GAGUAGUACUAGGAUGGGUGACCUCCUGGGAAGUCCUCGUGUUACACCCUU